UAAGAUUUAAUCUCUUAAAUCUAGCCAUCACCUAAAAUACUAUAAAAAGAUUAAAAAAUUUAAUCCUAAUAUCUCAUAUAUAGAAUUUUUUUCAAAUCCAGAGGUCUCACAUUUUCUCUCUUUUAAACCUGACGUCUUUAUAAGGCUGAGACACAUUCAUAACUAUCAGGCGAUGUGAGACUCAUCUUGCUAGCUUUAGUCGAUUUUGUGGGAAGCCGC
rnacentral:lncRNA from 1 species